rnacentral:rRNA from 1 species
GACGUAGGGUGCGAGCGUUGUCCGGAUUUAUUGGGCGUAAAGAGCUCGUAGGCGGCUCGUCGCGUCGACCGUGAAAACCCGCGGCUUAACUGCGGGCUUGCGGUUGAUACGGGCGGGCUAGAGGUCGGUAGGGGAGUGUGGAAUUCCUGGUGGAGCGGUGAAAUGCGCAGAUAUCAGGAGGAACACCCGUAGCGAAGGCGGCACUCUGGGCCGAUACUGACACUGAGGAGCGAAAGCGUGGGGAGCGAACAGG